CCUACGGGAGGCUGCAGUGGGGAAUAUUGCACAAUGGGGGAAACCCUGAUGCAGCGAUGCCGCGUGAGUGAAGAAGUAUUUCGGUACGUAAAGCUCUAUCAGCAGGGAAGAAGAAUGACGGUACCUGACUACGAAGCUUCGGCUAACUACGUGUCAGCAGCCGCGGUAAUACGUAGGGGGCAAGCGUUAUCCGGAUUUACUGGGUGUAAAGGGAGCGUAGACGGUUGUGCAAGUCUGAAGUGAAAGCCCAGGGCUCAACCCUGGGACUGCUUUAGAAACUGUGGAGCUAGAGUGCUGGAGAGGUAAGUGGAAUUCCUAGUGUAGCGGUGAAAUGCGUAGAUAUUAGGAGGAACACCAGUGGCGAAGGCGGCUUACUGGACAGUAACUGACGUUGAGGCUCGAAAGCGUGGGGAGCAAACAGGAUUAGAUACCCGUGUAGUC
rnacentral:rRNA from 1 species